ensembl:lncRNA
AUGGGAGAUGAAGGGGCUGGAGAUCCUAGACUUUUUGGGGGUUUUACCCAUUACCUGUGCCAUCGUGCUCAAUGGGAUACUUCGACCACACCUGUGUCUCCAGAGAAGAGGGCCGCCAGCCCAGCGCCACAGCACAAGAUGGCCACCAACCCAGCGCCACAGCACAAGAUGGCCGCCAGCCCAGCGCCACAGCACAAGAUGGCCGCCAGCCCAGCGCCACAGCACAAGAUGGCCGCCAGCCCAGCACCACAGCACGAGAUGACCACCAGCCCAGCACCACUGCACAGGAGGGUCGAAUCUACACCUGUGUUGGCAGACAAGAUGGUUGACUCAACGCCUGAGUCUUCCGUCAAGGAGCCACCGGCACGUCAUCAUAGAGGCCGCAGGAGGAGGAGACAGGCGUCAGCCGUUCCUCAAAGCCCGGAGGGACGUUCCCGAGCAGGCCGCUGCCGUCCAGGAGGACGUUCCCGAGCAGGCCGCUGCCGUCCAGGAGGACGUUCCCGAGCAGGCCGCGGUCGUCCAGAUGGAGGUGUCCAAGGUUCCCGAGGCGGUGCCCGAUGCCGAGGCCGUUCCCGAGGCGGUGCCCGAUGCCGAGCCCGAGGCGGUUCCCGAUGCAAUGCCCGAGGCCGAGAAGGUGGCCGAGACAGAAGCGGUUCCCGAUGCUAUGCCCGAUGCCGAGGCGGUCCCCGAUGCCAGGGCGGUGCCCGAGGCGGUGCCCGAUGCCGAGGCGGUGCCCGAUGCCGAGGCGGUGCCCGAUGUAAUGCCCGAGACCGAGGCUGUUCCGGAGGUGCCCGAGGCGGUUCCCGAUGCAAUGUCCGAUGCCGAGGCGGUCCCCGAUGCCGAGGCGGUGCCCGAGGCGGUCCCCGAUGCCGAGGCGGUGCCCGAUGCGGUGCCCGAGGCCGAGGCGGUCCCCGAUGCCGAGGCGGUUCCCGAUGCAAUGUCCACUGCCGAGGCGGUGCCCGAUGCCGAGGCGGUGCCCGUUGCGGUUGCCGAUGCGGUUCCCGAUGCAAUGUCCGAUGCCGAGGCGGUGCCCGAGGCGGUGCCCGAUGCCGAGGCGGUGCCCGAUGCGGUGCCAGAGACGGUGCCAGAGACGGUUCCCGAUGUAAUGCCCGAGACCGAGGCGGAGGUCGAGGCGGUGCCCGACGUUGUUCCCGAUGCCGAGGCGGUGCCCGAUGUGUUUCCGAUACCGAGGCUGUGCCCGAUGCCGAGGCUGUGCCCGAUGCCGAGGCGGUGACCGAUGCUGUUCCGCAGGUCGAGGCGGUGCCCGAGGCUGUGCCCGAUGCCGAAGCGGUGCCCGAUGCUGUUCCGGAGGCCGAGGCGGUGCCCGAUGCGCAGGCCGAGGUCGUUCCCGAGGCGGUGUCCUUGUCCGAUGUCGAGCCCGAGGCGGAGCCCGAGGUCGUGCCCGAGGCCGUGCCCGAGGCCGUUCCCGAGGCGGUGUCCUUGUCCGAUGCCGUUCCUGAGGCCAUUCCCAGGCGGUGCCCGAUGCUGUUCCGGGAGGCCGAUGCGGGGCCCGAGAUGGUUCCGGAGGCGAUACCCGUGUCCAAGGCCGUUCCCGAGGCGGUGCCCUUGUCUGAGGCCGUUCCCGAUGCCGUUCCCAAUGCCGUGACCUGGCCAUCGCCACAGCCUGCUCCUUACUGGCUCCCCGAUUGGCAGGUUCCGUUCGGGCCACUCAAAUGGCGAAUUCCUCCCUGGCCGUCUGCACAACGAGAAUGGACUGAUCCACCGUGGCCACCUGAACUGCCUGGCCCCUCGUGGUCCCCUGAACUUUCGGGUCCACCGCGGCCUUGGACACGGGUAUCGCCUCCGGAACCAUCUCGGGCCCCGCAUCGGCCUCCGGAACAGCAUCGGGCACCGCCUCGGGAACGGUCUCAGGAACGGCCUCGGGCUCGGCAUCGGGCACCGCCUCGGGAACGACCUCGGCCUGCGCAUCGGGCACCGCCUCGGUCUCUGGAACCAACUCGGGCACCGCCUCGGCCUCCGGAACCGCAUCGGGCACCGCCUCGGCCUCCGGAACAGCAUCGGGCACCGCCUCGGCCUCCGGAACAGCAUCGGGCACCGCCGGCAUCGGGCACAGCCUCGGCAUCGGGCACAGCCUCGGCAUCGGGCACAGCCUCGGCAUCGGGCACAACAUCGGGCACCGCCUCGGCAUCGGGAACAACAUCGGGCACCGCCUCGACCUCCGGAACAGCCUCGGUCUCGGGCAUUACAUCGGGAACCGUCUCUGGCACCGUCUCUGGCACCGCAUCGGGCACCGCCUCGGCAUCGGGCACCGCCUCGGCAUCGGGCACCGCCUCGGCAUCGGGCACUGCCUCGGCAUCGGACAUUGCAUCGGGCACCGCCUCGGCCACCUCCGGCACCGCCUCAGGCACCGCCUCGGCAUCGGGCACCGCCUCGGCAUCGGGCAUUGCAUCGGGAACUGCCUCGGCAUCGGGAACCUUGGACACGUCCUCCUGGACGGCAGCGGCCUGCUCGGGAACGUCCUCCUGGACGGCAGCGGCCUGCUCGGGAACGUCCUCCGGGCUUUGAGGAACGGCUGACGCCUGUCUCCUCCUCCUGCGGCCUCUAUGAUGACGUGCCGGUGGCUCCUUGACGGAAGACUCAGGCGUUGAGUCAACCAUCCUGUGCUGUGGCGCUGGGCUGGUGGCCAUCUUGUGCUGUGGCGCAGGGCUGGCGGCCAUCUUGUGCUGUGGCGCCGGGCUGGCGGCCAUCUUGUGCUGUGGCGCUGGCUCAGCAGCCGUGACGUGAACACUCCUGGGAACCUCUAGGAUCUUGUUCAACCUGGAGAAGUAAUUCAAAAAUGUCUCAGUGGCCAUCUUGGACAGUGGCGCUGGGCUGGCGGCCGUCUGGCCUCGUGGCGUGGGGCUGGUGACCACCUUGUGCUGUGGCGCUGAGCUGGCGUCCAUCUUGCCUCGUGGCGCUGGCCCUGGCAGUGGCAUCAUGGGCAGUGGCGCCACCAUGGCGGACGUGCGCUUCUUCUCCCCUCUCCGUCUGCCAUGGUGAGACAGUGGCUCUGAUCCAUCCCACACGAGCCCCGGAUCGAAGGGGGGCCAUGGUUGAGAGCGAUUCUGAGCCUCCUCUCGACCACUCACUCCUCUGCGACCUCCCCGGGUCCCACGAAAAAUGACCAGGCGGGUUCCCUCAAACUCUAUCCUUCUCUCCCGCUCGAUGGCUGGGGGAGAAACCUCAAAAAACAUACCGCUGGAUCUAGGCAUGACGGAGUCCUUCUGUCACGACACGCACACAGACAGGUAGAUCCAAAAGCAGUAUGUUUAUUGGGGUGAUCCAAAAUCAGAAAACAUCCAGGCAAAGGUCAAAAUCCAGGUAAUCCGUCCAAAACAAGAAACAUAGACAACAUCCAGAAACACGAAAAACCAGGGAACCAGGAAAACGCAGGGUGACAUUCAACAAGGACUCCGUAACAAUGACAGAAACAACCAGGGUAUUUAAAGACAGGUGCAAACAAGGUAAGUGGUGACAGCUGAACACAAUGAACAGUGAUGAACAGAUAAGGCUAGUGGGAAAUGUAGUUCAGAAGGGGGUGACAAUCAGGGGAAGUGAGACCUCUAGUGGCCACCCAGGGAGACACAGAACAGACACCGUGACAGUGUGUUACUGUUUUGAAUGAACACUGAACUGACUUGAGCUGAAUAAUUGAACAUUUCAUAAUUGAUUAAAUUUGAACUGAACUGAAUAAACAUUGAACUGAGCUGAAUAAAGACACUGCUGUCUUCUGUAGAGCUGCUUUAUAGCUAAAUUCAAUUCUUUGCGUAAUUGAUAUCUAUUUCAACAUUGAUAGUUAGGCUAUCGAAAUAAAUUAAAUCAACACUUAACUGAACUGAAUCAACAAUGAACUGAAUUAAGCUGAAUAAUAACACUGGUCACUGAAUCGUUUAAUAAUUAAUUAUCUUUGCAACUUUCACAGUUACUGAACUGAAUUGAAUCAAUGAUGAACUGAAUUGAAUUACUGAUUAACUGUAUUGAACUGAAUAAUGACAACACUGUCUAUGUAAAGCUACUUUAAG